GUGAGGAAUCUUAGACAAUGGGCGCAAGCCUGAUCUAGCCAUGCCGCGUGAGCGAUGAAGGCCUUAGGGUUGUAAAGCUCUUUCGUGGGGGAAGAUAAUGACUGUACCCCAAGAAGAAGCCCCGGCUAACUCCGUGCCAGCAGCCGCGGUAAUACGGAGGGGGCUAGCGUUGUUCGGAAUUACUGGGCGUAAAGCGCACGUAGGCGGACUGGAAAGUCAGGGGUGAAAUCCCGGGGCUCAACCCCGGAACUGCCUUUGAAACUCCCAGUCUUGAGUUCGAGAGAGGUGAGUGGAAUUCCGAGUGUAGAGGUGAAAUUCGUAGAUAUUCGGAGGAACACCAGUGGCGAAGGCGGCUCACUGGCUCGAUACUGACGCUGAGGUGCGAAAGCGUGGGGAGCAAACAGGAUUAGAUACCCUAGUAGUCC
rnacentral:rRNA from 1 species